AGCUCCGGAGUCCUGAGGUAACUAGGGUGAAUUUUCACCUAACAUGGAUAGCGCUCUGACAGACGGUCUGCAGAAUUUAACAGAUCAGGCCUCAAUGAACAACUUCAGCAUACAAAGAUCCUCCACCUGAAGACUGGCACCUAUCUUCCUGCCAUUAUUAGACAUUUGAUUUCUCACAUCCAAAUUAACAAUUAAACAAAUAUUAUAGCA